rnacentral:rRNA from 1 species
CUACGGGACGCUGCAGUGAGGAAUAUUGCGCAAUGGGCGAAAGCCUGACGCAGCGAUGCCGCGUGAGUGAAGAAACCCUUAGGGGUGUAAAGCUCUUUUUUAUGGGACGAAUGCCCGUUUCGGCGGGAGCGACGGUACCAUGAGAAUAAGCACCGGCUAACUCCGUGCCAGCAGCCGCGGUAAUACGGGAGGGUGCAAGCGUUGUCCGGAUUUACUGGGCGUAAAGGGCGUGUAGGCGGGAUGAUCAGUCGGAGGUGGAAUUUGCACAGCUCAACUGGCAAAGUGCCUUCGAUACUGUCAUCCUUGAGUGAAGGAGGGGGUAGUGGAAUUCCCGGUGUAGAGGUGAAAUUCGUAGAUAUCAGGAGGAACACCGGUGGCGAAGGCGACUUCCUGGACCAAUACUGACGCUGAGGCGCGAAGGCGUGGGGAGCAAACAGGAUUAGAUACCCGCGUAGUC